CCUACGGGAUGCAGCAGUGAGGAAUAUUGGUCAAUGGACGAGAGUCUGAACCAGCCAAGUAGCAUGAAGGAUGACUGCCCUAUGGGUUGUAAACUUCUUUUAUAUGGGAAUAAAAUGUUCCACGUGUGGGUUUUUGUAUGUACCAUAUGAAUAAGGAUCGGCUAACUCCGUGCCAGCAGCCGCGGUAAUACGGAGGAUCCGAGCGUUAUCCGGAUUUAUUGGGUUUAAAGGGAGCGUAGGUGGAUUGUUAAGUCAGUUGUGAAAGUUUGCGGCUCAACCGUAAAAUUGCAGUUGAAACUGGCAGUCUUGAGUACAGUAGAGGUGGGCGGAAUUCGUGGUGUAGCGGUGAAAUGCUUAGAUAUCACGAAGAACUCCGAUUGCGAAGGCAGCUCACUGGACUGCAACUGACACUGAGGCUCGAAAGUGUGGGUAUCAAACAGGAUUAGAUACCCCAGUAGUC
rnacentral:rRNA from 1 species